GUGCCAGCCGCCGCGGUAAUACGAGGGGAGCUAGCGUUAUUCGGAAUUACUGGGCGUAAAGCGCACGUAGGCGGCUUUGUAAGUAAGGGGUGAAAGCCCAGAGCUCAACUCUGGGAUUGCCUUUUAGACUGCAUCGCUUGAAUCCAGGAGAGGUGAGUGGAAUUCCGAGUGUAGAGGUGAAAUUCGUAGAUAUUCGGAAGAACACCAGUGGCGAAGGCGGCUCACUGGACUGGUAUUGACGCUGAGGUGCGAAAGCGUGGGGAGCAAACAGGAUUAGAUACCCCCGUAGUCC
rnacentral:rRNA from 1 species